rnacentral:lncRNA from 1 species
GCACCCUAAAAGCUCCCAGACCCCCGGAGCAGAGCCUGGCACAGCUCCCUGUCCCCUCGGGCAGCCUCCCUUCACAGCCCUCCAUCGGCCGCCCCCAGCACAGGCUCUCAGGAUGCUACUUUUGACAUAGAAUCAAUAAAUUCGAAGUCAAAACCUGGCCUUGUCCUCCUAAGUGCAGCAUGCCGAGGCUCUUUGGAGAGAGGAGAACUGAUGGAUACAGGGAUUUGAAGGACACAGAGGGAAAGUUAUAGCUGGGUUUCCCCUGGGUUUGUGAAUUAGUAUUUUGUUUUGAAAAUCUAGAUAUUUUCACCCUCCUGAGAGCUGCUGCUUUAGGAAAAGCCUUGUUUUCAUCCAAAUGUCUCUAAUAACAAGGCUACAGGUGAGAGGAGAUAUCUGGGUACAAGCAGGUCAACAGGAGCCCCUCUAAGAAGAGAGGAAUGUUUUGUGAACCCAGCCUUGACUUGAGAGGCAGGUCUGCAGGUGGAAGAACUUGUCUUUAUGCGAUAAUUUGUUUCAAAGUUUUCUUUGAAAAGUCUCAGUGAGCCUGUUGUGAGAGAGAGAGAUUGUUUUUACCCUGCAACAAAUUACUCUGGGACUUUCUGUGGUGUGUUUUGAGAUGGUUUUUAAUACAAAUCUUUCCACAGAACUUACACUUGUACUGGAUUGUAAAGACAACUGAAUAAAUUUAAUACAUUUCAUGACUCAUUUGCCAGCACUUCUGAGAUACCUGAAUCUACACGCUCCAUCCUUUGCUAUUAAGCAAAAAAUAGAGAGAUUGAGUAACCUACAAGGAAGAUUUAUUCAAGGUUUAAUCCAAGAAAGGGAUCCAAGACAAGGAAGUAAGCAGAGUACUGUUGUUUUAUAAUCCAGGAAGAAAAUAGGGAUCAAGAGCCCAGCCUUGUCAAUGAGUGAAAUUAGUCAAAAGAAGGGUGGACAGGGAGAAGGAGGCGAGGUGGCCACACUGAUACUGCGGGGAGGUUUGUGUAACACCAACAGAAGCUCCUGCUCUCACCCACGGAGGAUCCAGCUCCAGGCAGCCUGGCCCUGCUCCUCAGGUGUGUGCACAAGGGCAAUCCCUGGCCAGGGCCACCUGGAGACACCGUGUGGGUGUAGCCACUGCAGGGGAGCUGCAUUUUCCUGUAAAUCCUGGGCUGGGUCUGUGUAGGAAGGGGCUUGUUUAUGUAGCACCUGCUGGAGCUCCACUCCCAGUGUACACGAGGUCUAAAUGAUGUGCCUCACCUGGAACUGAAAUUUCUAUUUCUGUAACAACAUUGUUGAAGGGAAGUAGUUGCUCCAUGCAUCCAUUUGUGCUCCAUUUCAAAAUGUUUGUUUGGUCUUUGUGUUUUGUUUUGUUAUUCACGAGAAGUAAACAUUGCACCUCUCACAUCGGUUUCAAAGACAGGACUGCUGGGGCAGGAGAUGGUGAGGGGAUUGAGAGGGAUGGGAGAAGGAAGGAAAUAAAAAAGAAUGAGG